rnacentral:lncRNA from 1 species
AGCAUACAAUGCUAUUUUGCUUGCUGUCAUGGCAGUUCAAGGAAUCAAGCCCAACACAAUCACAUACAAUACUCUCAUCGAUGCCUAUGAAAGAUGAAAAGGGUUUACAGAGAUGGAAUCAACUCUUGUACAAGUGCUUCGGCUACAAGAAUGUGAACCUGAUGCAUGGACCAUAAACUCCACCUUGCAAGCUUUUGGUGGCAGCAGGUAAAGAGAGAUAAUGAAAAGUGCUAGUCAAAGCUUUAUUGGACAUUUUUUUAAAUACUUUGUGUGCACAUCAAAAUUUCGAGUUUUCUUUGAUAGAUCAUACACCAGUUAAUCUGCCAAUUCCCAACCAGCAAAGGGACAAUUUCACUAAAGAGAUUAGAAUCUUCAAUGACGAGCACUAAACCAGCUAAAGUGAGUAACAAAGUCAGGAUUUCAAUUGAACUCCAUUCUGGACAUAUAAAAUUUGCAACUCCUUUUUGCAAGUUCAGAUUCGAAGCAAGAAAGAGAAGAAAUGGCACCAAAGGCGGAGGAAAAAAAAACCAAGCUGAGAAGAAGCCUACCUCCGAGAAGGCUUCGACGGAGAAGAAGUCGAAGGCCGGAAAGAAAUUGACCGAAGAAAGCGACACCGCGACAGGAGGCAAGAGGAAGAAGCGAUGAUUUUGUUCGGAUGUGCAGAAAUGUGAUGAAAAGCAACAAGAAGUUGUCGGAUAAACUGUUUCGAGUACUUGAUAUGUACACCGGGAUCUCCAAUCACUGGCCGGAGAUUGAUUCCAUAUUCUCCUUCGAUUCAACAGCCAGUUUUAAGUCCCACGCUCUGACUUCACUUGUCAGACUUGGCGAGUAUAUGCAAACGACAUUGAAUAUGAGAUCAUCAUUCCAGAAAGAUUCUUCUAAAUCUCCGAUGGUCGGCACCGGAAUUCGCCAUCUCACAAUUGAUUUGAUGAAUUACUUGUCAAUCGUCGUCGAAUAUAGUAAUAAUCUUUCAGAUAAAUUGGCCGACUCACCGCAACGGCAGAAGUGGAACAAUUGACUCCAGAAUUAUGCUAAAAUAGAAAAAUUAUAGAUCUGCUUCCAUUUGAGCACAACAAAGAAAAAUGAGAUGAAUUAAAUCUCAAAAAAAUAGUAGUAGGAAGUAACAUCUACUCUGAUACCAUAUUAGAAUUCAUUGAAUGACAAAACAAUGUAUUAAACUCCAUGAAGGAGAAGAUGAAUUACACUCCAUGAAAUGAGGAAAUGAACCUCCAUGGAAGGAGGGAUUGGAGGACAAUCCAAUAGACUAAAAAAAUGCAUACAUGGUGCUGUAUUUAUAGAGCAAAAUGGCUAAACUAAUUAGCUAAUUAACAAACUAAUCACUGACUAACUAAACAACUAAGCAUGAGCUGGAAUAUUCUGGAAUUUGCUGGAGCGUAUUUCUAACACACCCCCUCAAGAUGAACUAGGAAGAUCCAUCUUGAAGAUUAAGGAAAUGGAGUGAAACAUGGAUGCAUCAGCUGUUACCAAGGAGAAAGAAAAGCCAAAGACAAACCAUUAUUGCCAGAAGCAUCAAUUACGGAACUACUAAUUGAUGAUGAAGAAUUAUGAACAACUUUGCUUGUAAUUUCUGUGACCAUUGUCAAUCUAAAGAGAGGUGUAGGAUUCUGCCUCAGGUGUGAAGAAGGAAUCAGUCUCUCCUUCCACUCAUUUCAUGGCACAAUUUUGCACUCGUACAACGUUCGGUAGAAAAGAAAAUGGAAUCUAAUCUAUCAUCCAUUCCAGCUGAUCCACAGAAUGUGAAAAACUGAGAGCAGUUAUGAUGAAACAAUUGAUUAAACUCCGUGAAAGGAGAACAAAGACAACUCCAUUAAAGGAGGAAUUAACACUCCAUGAUAGGAGGAGAAAUGGAACACUCCAUAAAGGAGGAAGAAGAGACUCCAUAGAAGGGGAACACAAAAGAGGGAUUGGAAUUCCACAUUCCAAUGAAUUACAAAUGAAUACAAAUGUUCUAUUUAUAGAGAAAAAUCUAACACGUGGGUUGUUAAAGG